GGGCCGUUAGUACACCGGUAGUACACCGCAUUCGCAUUGCGGAAAAGGGAGUUCAAUUCCCCCACGGUCCA
rnacentral:tRNA from 5 species